rnacentral:rRNA from 1 species
GCAGCGCGGGGCAACCUGGCGGCGAGUGGCGAACGGGCGAGUAAUAUAUCGGAACGUGCCCUGGAGUGGGGGAUAACGCAGCGAAAGUUGCGCUAAUACCGCAUACGAUCUAAGGAUGAAAGCGGGGGAUUCGCAAGAACCUCGUGCUCCUGGAGCGGCCGAUAUCUGAUUAGCUAGUUGGUGGGGUAAAGGCCUACCAAGGCAUCGAUCAGUAGCUGGUCUGAGAGGACGACCAGCCACACUGGAACUGAGACACGGUCCAGACUCCUACGGGAGGCAGCAGUGGGGAAUUUUGGACAAUGGGCGAAAGCCUGAUCCAGCAAUGCCGCGUGAGUGAAGAAGGCCUUCGGGUUGUAAAGCUCUUUUGUCAGGGAAGAAACGGUGAAGGCUAAUAUCCUUUGCUAAUGACGGUACCUGAAGAAUAAGCACCGGCUAACUACGUGCCAGCAGCCGCGGUAAUACGUAGGGUGCAAGCGUUAAUCGGAAUUACUGGGCGUAAAGCGUGCGCAGGCGGUUUUGUAAGUCUGUCGUGAAAUCCCCGGGCUCAACCUGGGAAUUGCGAUGGAGACUGCAAGGCUAGAAUCUGGCAGAGGGGGGUAGAAUUCCACGUGUAGCAGUGAAAUGCGUAGAGAUGUGGAGGAACACCGAUGGCGAANGCAGCCCCCUGGGUCAAGAUUGACGCUCAUGCACGAAAGCGUGGGGAGCAAACAGGAUUAGAUACCCUGGUAGUCCACGCCCUAAACGAUGUCUACUAGUUGUCGGGUUUUAAUUAACUUGGUAACGCAGCUAACGCGUGAAGUAGACCGCCUGGGGAGUACGGUCGCAAGAUUAAAACUCAAAGGAAUUGACGGGGACCCGCACAAGCGGUGGAUGAUGUGGAUUAAUUCNAUGCNACGCGAAAAACCUUACCUACCCUUGACAUGUACGGAAGCCACGAGA